UACGAAGGGGGCUAGCGUUGUUCGGAAUUACUGGGCGUAAAGCGCACGUAGGCGGAUUUGUAAGUCAGGGGUGAAAUCCCGGGGCUCAACCUCGGAACUGCCUUUGAUACUGCAAGUCUCGAGUCCGAUAGAGGUGAGUGGAAUUCCUAGUGUAGAGGUGAAAUUCGUAGAUAUUAGGAAGAACACCAGUGGCGAAGGCGGCUCACUGGAUCGGUACUGACGCUCAUGCACGAAAGCGUGGGGAGCAAACAGG
rnacentral:rRNA from 1 species